CGGAGGAAAGAAACCAACAGGGAUUGCCCUAGUAACGGCGAGUGAAGCGGCAACAGCUCAAAUUUGAAAUCUGGCCCUUGGGUCCGAAUUGUAAUUUGUAGAGGAUGAUUUUGGUGCGGUACCUUCCGAGUUCCUUGGAACAGGACGCCUUAGAGGGUGAGAGCCCCGUACGGUUGGAUACCUAGCCUCUGUAAAUCUCCUUCGACGAGUCGAGUAGUUUGGGAAUGCUGCUCUAAAUGGGAGGUAAAUUUCUUCUAAAGCUAAAUACUGGCCAGAGACCGAUAGCGCACAAGUAGAGUGAUCGAAAGAUGAAAAGCACUUUGAAAAGAGGGUUAAAUAGCACGUGAAAUUGUUGAAAGGGAAGGAUUUAUGACCAGACUUUUUCUGGGCAGAUCAUCCGGUGUUCUCACCGGUGCACUUUGCCCAGUUUAGGCCAGCAUCGAUUUCCGGAGGGGGAUAAAAGCUUUAGGAAUGUGGCUCCUUCGGGAGUGUUAUAGCCUAUUGUAUAAUACCUUUCUGGGGAUCGAGGUACGCGCUUCUGCAAGGAUGCUGGCGUAAUGGUUAUCAAUCACCCGUCUUGAAACACGGACCAAGGAGUCGAACAUUUGUGCGAGUGUUUGGGUGUUAAACCCUCACGCGUAAUGAAAGUGAACGGAGGUAAGAGCCCUUACGGGUGCAUUAUCGACCGAUCCUGAAGUUUUCGGAUGGAUUUGAGUAGGAGCAUAAAUGUUCGGACCCGAAAGAUGGUGAACUAUGCGUGGAUAGGGUGAAGCCAGAGGAAACUCUGGUGGAGGCUCGCAGCGGUUCUGACGUGCAAAUCGAUCGUCAAAUCUGCGCAUGGGGGCGAAAGACUAAUCGAACCAUCUA
rnacentral:rRNA from 1 species